GACGAACGCUGGCGGCGUGCUUAACACAUGCAAGUCGAACGAAGACCGCUGGACGCUUGCUUCUAUCAAUCUUAGUGCCGAACGGGUGGGUAACGCGUAAUCAACCUGCCCUUCAGAGGGGGACUACAGUUGGAAACUAUUUCUAAUACCGCAUACGAUCUAAUCUGGGCAUCCCGGCUAGAUGUAAGCUAGCCUCUACAUUUAAGCCCUCACUGGACGAGGGUCCUUCGCCUGACUAGCUGGUUGGUGGGGUACCCGCGCACCAAGGCGAUGAACAGUAGCCGGCCAGAGAGGCUGAGCGGCCACGUUGGGACGGAGACACGGCCCAGACUACUGCGGGAGGGAGCAGUGCGGGAUCUUUCGCGAUGGAAGAAAGGCUGACGGAGCAACGCCGCGUGAGUGAUGACGGCCGUCGGGUUGUAAGGGUCUGUUAGUCGGGACGAAAGGCCUUCUUGCGAAUAGGGAGAGGGAUUGACGGUACCGGAAGAAAAAGCCACGGCUAACUACGUG
rnacentral:rRNA from 1 species